rnacentral:pre_miRNA from 1 species
AAUUAACAUCUAUGUCUCGUUUAGUUGCCUCCCUUCAGUUUUUACAGUAUUGUAAUAACUGAAGGGAGGUAAACUCAACGAAACAUAGAUGUUUAU